AGGCUGGCAGUUGAUGGAUCUGGAAGCAAGGAAUGCUGGUUCAAUCCAAUUCCAUGGAAUCACAGAAGAGUUUGAGCUGGAAUUGGCCUCUGGAGAGCCUCUGCUCCAACCCCUCUGCACCCAGAGCAUCUUACACAGGAGCACAUCCACGUGGGACUGGAAUGGCUCCAGAGAGGGAAUUUCCAAUAAAAAACCACGGAGAGUGAACAGCAAAACCUCAUCAGCACCAAACUGCUCCUCUUUUCACAUUUUGAAUUCCAAAGAACAGCAAAGAAACCGAGGCUGUGUUUGCCAUAAAGAUUUUGUGCACCUGCUCUGGAACCAGGAACUUCCAGGUGAGAGCAGCUGAAGUGAAAGAGCAGCUCUGGCUCAUUGAGCUGAUCAGGACAGGGUAGGAGACAGCAUCUUCCCAAGUGGGGUUAUUCACCAGCUCCAUCCCAGGAUUUCUUAAUAAAUAUGAAGAUUUAGCAAGGCCUUGGCAAUGAAAAACAGGAUUGAAGCUCAUCCAGGCUUUUGCAUCCCAAUAUUCCCGAAACUGCUUUUGGAGAAAUCACUGGUGAAACGAGGCUGUUGCUACCAAAGGUGGAAUUCCCAAGGACGGAAGACCCCCAGGCCACAUGGCUGCGACAAAAAGGAAUUUGGGACACAAAUAUUUAUUUUCAGUUCUUAUCUUCCCUCUGCAAGUGACCACGUUUGUUGGGAAUUUUUGCCCUCAUUUUGUAGUCUGAGAAGAGUAAUUUUUGCUGAGGUCCAGCCAGAAAAGGUCACACUCAACCUGAUCCCCUGAAGAAAAGCCACAUUUCAUUGGGAUUCUGUCUUGCUGGGAGAGGACUCGGUUGGGAUUCUCUCCUCCUGGGAGCUGUCCCUCAGCAGGGGAGGGCAGAUCUCUCUGCCUUUGCUGCAGCACCAGGGAAGUGCCUCUGGAGACUCAGAGCUGGCACCAAACAGGGCAGAGGAGCAUGGCAGGGCUCGGGGGGAAUUCCUGGGAAAGCCCUGCCUGGAGGACAGG